rnacentral:rRNA from 1 species
UAAGGUAGCGAAAUUCCUUGUCGGGUAAGUUCCGACCUGCACGAAUGGUGCAACGAUCUGGGCACUGUCUCAACCAUGAUCUCGGUGAAAUUGUAGUAUCGGUGAAGAUGCCGGUUACCCGCAGUGGGACGAAAAGACCCCGUGCACCUUUACUAUAGCUUCGUAUUGACCCUGGGCAAGGGAUGUGUAGGAUAGCUGGGAGGAUUUGAAGCGCUGUCGCCAGGCAGUGUGGAUCCGUUGUUGAAAUACCAGCCUUCGUUUGUCCGGGGCCUAACCUCUAACGAGGAACAGUGCGUGGUGGGUAGUUUGACUGGGGCGGUCGCCUCC